rnacentral:rRNA from 1 species
AACGUAGGAGACAAACGUUAUCCGGAGUUACUGGGCGUAAAGAGCGUGUAGGCGGCCUGGUAGGUCUGCUGUGAAAACUCGAGGCUCAACCUCGAGAUGUCGGCGGAAACCAUCUGGCUAGAGUCCGGAAGAGGAGAGUGGAAUUCCUGGUGUAGCGGUGAAAUGCGCAGAUAUCAGGAAGAACACCUAUGGCGAAGGCAGCUCUCUGGGACGGUACUGACGCUGAGACGCGAAAGCGUGGGGAGCGAACAGG